CGGUGACUGGGAUGCUCCCGGCGGCGCCUGGCGGCCUCACGGGAUGCGCGGGGAUGAGCGGCGGGGUGGCGGCUGCCGGCCGAGCCCCUGCUGCCUUGCCCGCUGUCCGCAGUAGCCCGGACACAGGUGCUCAGCUCCGUCUGCAGGGGCUGCUCAGGGGCACUCGCGUCUGGUGACAGCAGCAGCGACAGUGUGAAUCCUCGGUUCGGCCCGGUUUGGGGAGUGUUUGCUUACUGGUGGCUAACUGGAUUUCCGGGGCUCCGGGUUUCCGCAGCAGGCUGGCGAGGCUCAGUGCUGGGCACCAGCAAUGUAAAGGGAAUCGUAGGGGCACAGGACGCUCCGCAGCUCCCGGUGCUGCGGUGGCCCGGUGGUGUCACACAAACGGUGCGAGGCUGUGUUCUAGUGUCUUUGGUUCCCUAUAAUGUCAAAAGAGGAGGGGAAAAAACACAAAAACGCAUCUCCUCAAAACCAGCUAUGUGAACAUGUUUCUGUUCUCAGCUGGAAGUCUGUAACGCGUCUGAAGUAGCAUCAAAGCAAAAGAGAACAGAACACGGGCCUGGUGACAGACACCUGUGACUUUUGGCUGCUAUGGCUCCAUGUAGCUGUGCUUCUGGCUUUCUCCGAACGACGUGCAGCAGGUUCCCCCUCCUGGCAGCACGGCUUCCAGGACAUCGAGCCGUCUGCUCCAGGUUCUAAUCGUUCCCAGAGGCUUUCGAUUCAAUUACUUACUAACAGCAAGAAAGACCUAUUCCUGUGACCAAGGAUAUUGGAAUCAACAUCCGCAAUCACCCCCAUUUCUGGCUUAUGGUGAUUAAAAAAGAAGAAGAUUGAUUGGAAGACAUUCCCGAAGAAUGUGUAAUGAAGUAUGUUGACAAGAAAGUAGCAAAAGUGUCAGAUGAUAGGGAUUCUAAUAGCAUAACAAUUACAAAUAAUUUAAGCAAUCUUAGGCUAGUUAACAUUUUUAAAUUGAAGAUGCAGAACCUGGGAACAAGAACUACCUUCUUCUCUGAGAUUAUUUUUCUGCAGGGGGAGGAGACUACUAAACAACAGUAAGAGAAUUAGGACUCUCAGUGUGUCUACUGGGCAUUCUCAGGUGUGUAAUAAAACUGACAAACAUUUAUGCUAAACCAAAAUAAAGACUUCAAAUAUAGCCCAGUAAACUCAAGUUGAACCAUUACCAGAACACUAUAUUUCAAAAUUAAAUAUUGAUAUAACCAGGAGAUUUGUUUAAAUGCAACCGAAGCAUGAAAACCACUGAAUGUUUAACUGAAAUGUCACAAGGGAAAAAAACCUGCCCAGUGUUCAAGAUUACAUGUAUUUCUUAAAUGAACCUAGGAUGACAACUCCAUGUCUUUAACAAGAGUGCUUUUUCAUUUCUUAGCACUUAUAACUUAGGAAGUACUCAAUGCAUUUUUAUGUAAAGUAUUCAUUUCUAGAUUCUGGUCUCUUGGUCAUAACAGCAAGAGUUAUCUUUCACAAUUUUGCCUUAAUUUAAUUUAAAUAGAAUGUUAAACCAUUAUUUAUUUGCAAAGGUAAUGGAAUAAAAAAGUCGUACUUUGGAAGAUUUAGUAAGAAAUGUCCCUCUUCACCCUUUGCAACUAGUCGCCUUUUUCUUCACACCAAUCCUUGUUUUCCUGACUUUCCACUGCACUUGUUGUUGCUUCUUGUUUAAUGUAGUCUCUUCUGUUGAGCACUUCAGACCAUGCUACUGUUUAGUUUAACCUGAAAGAAGACAUUAAAUUAUAUUUUUAGAAAUCAAGUGUCAGGUAUUGGCUUUACCUUUUCACAGUUGUCUCUGCUGGGACAUUACUGAGCUGAGAGGAGAAGCAGAAAUGGAUCUGUCUGUUACUGAUGAUUUUGUUUCCAACAGUUGUAAGAGGAUUCUUCCAUACCAUCAAGGCUCCCAUUUGCUUUCAUUGGUGAUUGUUCAGAUAUUUAGAGGAGUAUCAUUGUAGUUGAUGAGGACUCACCUACCUCGUUAGUACAGUCCCAUUUCUCCACUGUGGCAGUCCAACACCAUCAGCUCAGACACUGCUGAAAUUGUAACUAACGCUUUCAUGUUUUCCUUGCAAAAAUUUAUACACCUGUCAGAGAAUUAGUGACAGUAAUAUACCUGGGAUCAGCUUGCUCUUAAUUUAAAAAGUUAUGGAUGCAAAGGGUUAUAUUUUGACCUUUUAUGCUCAGAUGUAUACACUUACUUCCACUAAUCCAUUUGAUGUCUCCUGGGAAAAAAACAAGGCACCUUAGUAUGUCUGCAAAAUAAGUCACACAUUUUAAAAUUAUAUGGAAGAAAAUAUUAAUGCAAUGCUUUACAUUUGUUUAGCAAGACUGAGACUUUGUUUAGAAUGGCUGAGACUCUCCAGAGGCAGUGAAAGUUUACUAAGGCUCACAACAUCACCAUUAAUUAGAUGAAGUUCAGUGAAGACUUUAGGUCAAAAAGAUUAGUAAUUUACUUGUAGGCACACAAGCAGCAGCAUAUGGGUAGAAAUGGAAUAUGUAACUCCAAAGCCAGCAUUUCCAGUUUUCUUGUUAGUCACUUUGUGUUUUCAGAUGAAAACAUAUGCUAAACUCCAUAGACAAUUUGAAGCCAGUUUGAAUAUCCAAAGAAGGCUGUGAUGAUGUUUCAAAUCGCUGAGAACCUCAUUACAGACACUAUGGAGAGAAUUUAUAAACAGAAAUUCUUUGUCAAUGAUUUUGACAACCAUAAUAAAUACUCUAUAGAAUCAGUA